GACGAACCGUGCGAACGUUGUUCGGAAUCACUGGGCUUAAAGGCGCGUAGGCGGGUCACCAAGUCUGGGGUGAAAUCCUCCAGCUUAACUGGAGAAUAGCCUUGGAUACUGGUGGUCUCAAGGGAGGUAGGGGCAGCUGGAACUUCCGGUGGAGCGGUGAAAUGCGUUGAUAUCGGAAGGAACGCCGGUGGCGAAAGCGAGCUGCUGGACCUCUUCUGACGCUGAGGCGCGAAAGCCAGGGGAGCAAACGGG
rnacentral:rRNA from 1 species